CCCAGCCGUGCAGGCGAGAAAGACUCGGCCAGAGGACCGCAGCGGGUCAGCCGAACCCGUGGGCAUCUAACCUGUGGCCAUCUAACCUGUGGCCAUCUAACCGCGCACCCGGCGUUGGGAGCCACCCAGCAGACACUAAGAGUGCCAGCACCUGAGAGAGGGUCAUCAGAGCGCCUAACGCGGCGACGGUCCAGGGUAUCCUUCUUCGGGGAUGGCAUGAAAUAAACGCUCGUUCAGAACCUCGCGGGGCGACACACGGGGUUAUGGAGCCGAAGCACCAGCCUCUAAGAUGAAGGCGAUUUUCUAAUUAAUGGACCGAGUGCCCCACAAAGGAACCCAUUCUGAAGACCGGGGAACAGUCUACCCACAUGGAACCAGAGGGUCGUGGGGCGGGCACGUUGUUUAAUCCCCCGAGGGGGGACAGUCAGUGAAAGCGCUGAGCCGCAGAAGCAAUUCCAGGCCAGGCCCAGGGGAAUCCUUCCUGCUCGGGAUGACUAGCACUAACUUGGGUGGUAAAGGGACGCAGAACUUGGUUAGACAGAGAAAGCUGGUUGCAGCUCCGACACAAAGGCAAGGAGCCGAGAAACAGGCGCGCCGCGAGGAUCGGCGAGGGCUGGGGAAGGCUUCCUAACGUCCAGAGAGAGGGGGAAUCUUCCAGCCUGGGCCGGUUUACUUCUGAGCCUCCUCCACGGCGGGGAGAAUCUGACCUACAUUCUAAAAGCCCCUGGAGUACCUGAGAAAACAUGAAACUUCAUACAUGAAGAGUCGGCUACCGGGUUUGCUGCCGGCACCCCCCUUCUUCCAAACAGGCUAUCUUGGCGGACGUGACCCACAGCAGAGUUCCCUCGGCCAGCGGCUUGUCGGACACUCCCUUCACAUUCCUUUUCUAACAUGGGUUCACGCUGUAAAAUAGCACCUCAUAUUUGUGCGGAAAUCAGCGUAGAAACGUCUCCAUUUACGGUCUCAUAACAGCAAACAGUAAGAAACCAGCGCGGCUUCUACUGUAGGUUCAACAACAUUAUGUUUCUAACCCCAUUUUAAGCGCUGUAAUAAUAAGACAAAUACAAGAAUGCUUACAGACAA